CCUACGGGAGGCAGCAGUGGGGAAUAUUGCGCAAUGGGCGAAAGCCUGACGCAGCGACGCCGCGUGAGGGAUGAAGGUCUUCGGAUCGUAAACCUCUGUCAGCAGGGAAGAACGGUCACUGUGCUAAUCAGCAGUGCAUUGACGGUACCUGCAAAGGAAGCACCGGCUAACUCCGUGCCAGCAGCCGCGGUAAUACGGAGGGUGCGAGCGUUAAUCGGAAUUACUGGGCGUAAAGCGCUCGUAGGCGGUAUGUCAAGUCAAGGGUGAAAUCCCCGCGCUCAACGUGGGAACUGCCUUUGAAACUGGCAAACUGGAGUGUAGGAGAGGAUAGUGGAAUUCCAGGUGUAGGAGUGAAAUCCGUAGAGAUCUGGAGGAACAUCAGUGGCGAAGGCGACUAUCUGGCACAUAACUGACGCUGAGGAGCGAAAGCGUGGGUAGCAAACAGGAUUAGAUACCCUUGUAGUC
rnacentral:rRNA from 1 species